rnacentral:rRNA from 1 species
CUACACGGGUAUCUAAUCCUGUUCGAUACCCACGCUUUCGAGCAUCAGCGUCAGUUGCGCUACAGUAAGCUGCCUUCGCAAUCGGAGUUCUUCGUGAUAUCUAAGCAUUUCACCGCUACACCACGAAUUCCGCCUACUUUCGGCGCACUCAAGCCCCCCAGUUCGCGCUGCAAGUCGGAUGUUGAGCACCCGCAUUUCACAACACGCUUAAGGGGCGGCCUACGCUCCCUUUAAACCCAAUAAAUCCGGAUAACGCCCGGACCUUCCGUAUUACCGCGGCUGCUGGCAC